rnacentral:misc_RNA from 1 species
AAGUCGUAACAAGGUUUCCGUAGGUGAACCUGCGGAAGGAUCAUUAACGAGAUAGGGUUUCUUCGGAGCCCGACCUCCAACCCAAUGUCUACCAUACCUCUGUUGCCUCGGCGGGCCGCCGGUGCUGUUUUACAACAGUACCGCCGUCGGUUCCCCAAGGGCUUUCGAGCGCCCGCCGAUGGGAUACAAAACUCUUUUUGAAAUCAGUAUUCUGAGUGAGAAAAUAAUAUUAUUAAAACUUUUAACAACGGAUCUCUUGGUUCUG